GUCCAACUCCUUUUUCUCCAGGCCAGAACACUGGAGUGGGUAGCCGUUCCCUUCUCCAGGGGAUCUUCCCCACCCAGGGAUGGAACUCAGGAAUUCUGCGCUGCAGGUGGAUUCUUUACCAGCAUUCCAACGUGAAACGUUGGUCAGUGGGGGUUAAGAAGGAUAAAGAAAUCUUAACUGACCUGUAACAAUCGCCUCAUGCAAACCUGUAAGUAACGCAUGCCAAGGAUACGGUUAAAUGCUGGAAUACAACCAGCUCGAAACAGGCCACCCAUGUGACAAGCGCUUUCUACCUUGGACACAUUUCUCAGCGGAUGGCAAGCUCAUUUAAAACGGGCUUGUCCUCACCCCCAUGGGCCACGUCUGCCCCCUGGUCCGCUGGUCACCCGGCGCGCGCUUCCUCGCGGUCCCGCUAGAUGGCAGGACCGGGCGCCUCGGGGUGGGGGUGCGCGCCGCGCCGCGAUUGCCGGGCUCACUCGGCACCGUGGACGCCACGCCCUGCAAAUUAUUAGGGACUUUUCGGUAGCGACCAUACUGUCGCCUUUUGCAUACUGGAAUUAGAACCGUGGUGGAGAAGGCAGGAUUGCAGAACUGCACCCUCCCUUUUGGAGGGGCGUGUGGUCCGGGACAGCCGGCGGGGCAGCCUCUUGGGCGCAAAACUCAGCGGGUGCCCCGUGGUCCCCUCUUCGAACAGGGACCCAGGGAACGCGACCGUGGUGACCGUUCAGAGUGUCUGCGAGGUCGUGGAGGCGGGAGCGGGCUGCUGCUGGCCGGCUUUUGUGAAACAGCCAGUGAGGGUGCUGGCGAUUUGUCUUUGCGCCUUGGGAUAAACCCUGGGCAUGUUCCCGUCAUAGCCGUACACGGGAGGAGCCUGCCAGGGUGCAGAACCAUCCGCUUUUUCCGAAGAAGUCUUCUUCCCGGGUGGGCACGUGGAGCCCAAUCUAAAGCCUGCCGCCCGCAUACGAGUCCGGAGUUCACCAGCGGAUCUCGCUGCUGAGCGGAACAGAGGGGCAGGGAAAGCUGGGCUGCGCCGAGAACCGACCAAUCUUGCCGCUGCGACUGCCUGCCGGAGGGCAGGGGACCCAGACCUGGAGGAGACAGGCGCUGGGGGCGCCUGCGGGCCCCGUGGCCUCCGGGGUCUCGGUGAGGGAAGCCGGCGGGCGAGCGCAGGGUCUUCCCGCGCGCGCUGUGCGGAGGCCUCUCGGCGGCCGCCCCUCGCCCCGCGCGCCCCGCGCGCCGCCCGCCCCGCUCAGGAUUGAGGAAGUGAGUCUGGCCCGGCCCGGCCUCCGGCGCGCGGCCGGAGCCUCGGCAGAGGAGGGCAGAGGGGUGGCCCGGCCCGGAGC
rnacentral:lncRNA from 1 species